UACGGAGGGUGCAAGUGUUAAUCGGAAUUACUGGGCGUAAAGCGCGCGUAGGUGGUUUGUUAAGUUAGAUGUGAAAGCCCCGGGCUCAACCUGGGAACUGCAUCCAAAACUGGCAAGCUAGAGUACGGUAGAGGGUGGUGGAAUUUCCUGUGUAGCGGUGAAAUGCGUAGAUAUAGGAAGGAACACCAGUGGCGAAGGCGACCACCUGGACUGAUACUGACACUGAGGUGCGAAAGCGUGGGGAGCAAACAGG
rnacentral:rRNA from 1 species